GGGAAUAUUGCGCAAUGGAGGAAACUCUGACGCAGUGACGCCGCGUAUAGGAAGAAGGUUUUCGGAUUGUAAACUAUUGUCGUGAGGGAAGAAAUUGACAGUACCUCAGGAGGAAGCUCCGGCUAACUCCGUGCCAGCAGCCGCGGUAAUACGGAGGAUGCGAUCGUUAUCCGGAUUUAUUGGGUUUAAAGGGUGCGUAGGCGGUCCGGAAAGUCAGCGGUAAAAGCCCGGGGCUCAACCCCGGCGAGCCGUUGAAACUGUCGGACUAGAGACGGCGAGAAGUACGCGGAAUGCGCGGUGUAGCGGUGAAAUGCAUAGAUAUCGCGCAGAACUCCGAUUGCGAAGGCAGCGUACCGGCGCCGGCCUGACGCUGAGGCACGAAAGCGUGGGUAUCGAACA
rnacentral:rRNA from 1 species